AGGAAAGCAGGGGAUCGCAAGACCUUGCGCUUUUGGAGCGGCCGAUGUCUGAUUAGCUAGUUGGUGAGGUAAAGGCUUACCAAGGCGUCGAUCAGUAGCUGGUCUGAGAGGACGACCAGCCACACUGGGACUGAGACACGGCCCAGACUCCUACGGGAGGCAGCAGUGGGGAAUUUUGGACAAUGGGGGAAACCCUGAUCCAGCCAUGCCGCGUGAGUGAAGAAGGCCUUCGGGUUGUAAAGCUCUUUCAGCCGGAACGAAACGGUCACAGCUAAUACCUGUGACUACUGACGGUACCGGAAGAAGAAGCACCGGCUAACUACGUGCCAGCAGCCGCGGUAAUACGUAGGGUGCGAGCGUUAAUCGGAAUUACUGGGCGUAAAGCGUGCGCAGGCGGUUUUGUAAGUCAGAUGUGAAAUCCCCGGGCUUAACCUGGGAACUGCGUUUGAAACUACAAGGCU
rnacentral:rRNA from 1 species